CGGCGGACGGGUGAGUAAUGCCUAGGAAUCUGCCUGGUAGUGGGGGACAACGUUUCGAAAGGAACGCUAAUACCGCAUACGUCCUACGGGAGAAAGCAGGGGACCUUCGGGCCUUGCGCUAUCAGAUGAGCCUAGGUCGGAUUAGCUAGUUGGUGAGGUAAUGGCUCACCAAGGCGACGAUCCGUAACUGGUCUGAGAGGAUGAUCAGUCACACUGGAACUGAGACACGGUCCAGACUCCUACGGGAGGCAGCAGUGGGGAAUAUUGGACAAUGGGCGAAAGCCUGAUCCAGCCAUGCCGCGUGUGUGAAGAAGGUCUUCGGAUUGUAAAGCACUUUAAGUUGGGAGGAAGGGCAGUAACUUAAUACGUUGCUGUUUUGACGUUACCGACAGAAUAAGCACCGGCUAACUCUGUGCCAGCAGCCGCGGUAAUACAGAGGGUGCAAGCGUUAAUCGGAAUUACUGGGCGUAAAGCGCGCGUAGGUGGUUCGUUAAGUUGGAUGUGAAAUCCCCGGGCUCAACCUGGGAACUGCAUUCAAAACUGUCGAGCUAGAGUAUGGUAGAGGGGUGGGUGAGAAUUUCCUGUGUAGCGGUGAAAUGCGUAGAUAUAGGAAGGAACACCAGUGGCGAAGGCGACCACCUGGACUGAUACUGACACUGA
rnacentral:rRNA from 1 species